CAGCACCUCAAGUGGUCAGGAUGAUUAUUGGGCCUAAAGCAUCCGUAGCCGGCGCUGUAAGUUUUGGUUAAAUCUGUACGCUCAACGUACAGGCUGCCGGGAAUACUGCAGCGCUAGGGAGUGGGAGAGGUAGACGGUACUCGGUAGGAAGGGGUAAAAUCCUUUGAUCUAUUGAUGACCACCUGUGGCGAAGGCGGUCUACCAGAACACGUCCGACGGUGAGGGAUGAAAGCUGGGGGAGCAAACCGGAUUAGAUACCCGAGUAGUCC
rnacentral:rRNA from 1 species